rnacentral:rRNA from 1 species
UAGGGAAUAUUGGCCAAUGGAUGGAAGUCUGAACCAGCCAUGCCGCGUGCAGGAAGAAGGCCUUCUGGGUUGUAAACUGCUUUUGCCAGGGGCUAAAAGGCCGGUGCGCCGGAAAUUGAAAGUACCUGGUGAAUAAGCCACGGCUAACUACGUGCCAGCAGCCGCGGUAAUACGUAGGUGGCAAGCGUUGUCCGGAUUUAUUGGGUUUAAAGGGUGCGUAGGCGGCUUAUUAAGUCAGUGGUGAAAUAUCGCAGCUUAACUGUGAGGGUGCCAUUGAUACUGAUGAGCUUGAGUACAGAUGAGGUAGGCGGAAUUGACGGUGUAGCGGUGAAAUGCAUAGAUAUCGUCAAGAACACCUAUAGCGAAGGCAGCUUACUAAGCUGUAACUGACGCUGAGGCACGAAAGUGUGGGGAUCAAACAGGAUUAGAUACCCUGGUAGUCCACACUGUAAACGUUGAUAACUCGCUGUUUGCGAUACACAG